UACAUAGGUCCCAAGCGUUGUUCGGAUUCAUUGGGCGUAAAGGGUGCGUAGGUGGCGCCGUAAGUCAGGUGUGAAAUCUCGGGGCUUAACUCCGAAACUGCAUUUGAUACUGCGGUGCUUGAGGACUGGAGAGGAGACUGGAAUUUACGGUGUAGCAGUGAAAUGCGUAGAGAUCGUAAGGAAGACCAGUGGCGAAGGCGGGUCUCUGGACAGUUCCUGACACUGAGGCACGAAGGCCAGGGGAGCAAACGGG
rnacentral:rRNA from 1 species